CUUUGUGUUUGCAAUCCUUAAGGUGCAUUCUCUGCGCAUUUUCCUUCAAAACAAUUUUAACUUUCUCAAAAAAAAAAAUUUGACUCUUUUUUUUUUCGGGAACCUCCAAGGAGUGAGGAAAAAUUUUAUUAAGAGGAUGAUCAGCCACACUGGGACUGAGACACGGCCCAGACUCCUACGGGAGGCAGUAGUGGGGAAUUUUCCGCAAUGGGCGAAAGCCUGACGGAG
rnacentral:ncRNA from 1 species